GUCGCCAACGAGUGGCGGACGGGUGAGUAACACGUAGGUAACCUGCCCAGAAGCGGGGGACAACAUUUGGAAACAGAUGCUAAUACCGCAUAACAACGUUGUUCGCAUGAACAACGCUUAAAAGAUGGCUUCUCGCUAUCACUUCUGGAUGGACCUGCGGUGCAUUAGCUUGUUGGUGGGGUAAUGGCCUACCAAGGCGAUGAUGCAUAGCCGAGUUGAGAGACUGAUCGGCCACAAUGGGACUGAGACACGGCCCAUACUCCUACGGGAGGCAGCAGUAGGGAAUCUUCCACAAUGGGCGCAAGCCUGAUGGAGCAACACCGCGUGAGUGAAGAAGGGUUUCGGCUCGUAAAGCUCUGUUGUUAAAGAAGAACACGUAUGAGAGUAACUGUUCAUACGUUGACGGUAUUUAACCAGAAAGUCACGGCUAACUACGUGCCAGCAGCCGCGGUAAUACGUAGGUGGCAAGCGUUAUCCGGAUUUAUUGGGCGUAAAGAGAGUGCAGGCGGU
rnacentral:rRNA from 1 species